ensembl:lncRNA
AAUGGUAGAACAUGUAUUUAUGUUCUCUCAUUUCUAAUUAAAUCAUUUCUUAGAUACUUAACGAAGUGUCUGUGUGUGUUUACAGCUUUGCAGAUGAAUUUAGUCUUCUGAUUCAACUGCGGAGCUCACAAGAAGAGGACCGGAGUGUGUUGACUUUGCUGAACUUCUAUAAUCACAUUUUACUCCAGAUCCGUAUAGGCCCACACAGCAUCACCUUCAUCACCACACAGCAGCGUGACUAUGAGUACAAACACCAUUUAACAUAUGCCACUGAGCACUAAGCUUUACCUAUAUUGAAAUAACAGUAUUCUUAUAAUAGUGUAUUCGAAACUCUGGCUUCAGGUUUUCAGUGUCAGGGCUGUCUGACUCGCAGUGGCACUGGAUCUCAGUUGGGGUUGCAUUUGAAUGGCUGGCUGUGUAUGUGGACUGUGUGCUGGUGGAGAAAGUGAGCUGGAUGUACCCGUACAUGGGCAUCACUACAGAUGGCCUGCUGAUGGUGGGGGGAAUCCUGGAGGGCUUUGAGACACCCUUUGAGGGAGAGCUGAGACAGAUGACCUUCAUAAUGGGAGAUGCAAAUGCUGCCAGGGAUCACUGUGCUCUUCAUCAGCAUAUGUGUGAACCUGUGAAAGAACGUGGGUUUCUUAAAACAGAAAGUAGCACUGAGAGCCCUUUUUUGUCUUCAGCUGGCUCAACAGCAGACAGACCUUUCUCAUCAAAUCCCUCUACUGGCAGAGAUGAGACUGCCAAUAUACAUCCAGUUCCAGGGCUCCGGCCUGAACCCAGAAAAUCACAUGGUUCGAACUCCAGUGUCUCUUCUAAGAAUGAAGAUCUUCGUAGUGAAUGGGACAUGUCGUCUAAUCCGAACAGAACUGCAAAGCAUUCGGUUCGUGGCUUUGUAGUGGUGGACGAGUCUGACCUUCUCACGUCUCCCGCUGUCAGCACACAUAGCAGGUAUAAGGACACCAGUGACAAAAAGAUCCAGUCUACCACCUUCAAAUCAUCAGAGGAGACCUUCACCUCUCAAAAACUGAAAGCAGAUUUGGGUGGAGGCCGUCUUGAGCGGCUCCCUUUGAAGCCCUCUGGGGACAUUGCUGACCUGGAUUCUAUUUUGAAUGUGAAGACAUCAGCUGGUCAGAAGGAUCUGGUCAGGCCUACAGCCCAUCCUGAGUUAAACCAGCUGACUGAAGAAGGUUUCUUACUUCCUUCAAAGGGCUUCGAAGUAGAUAAAAAGCCUUUGGUCAGUGUUCACUCAAAAAAAGGAUAUGAAUCGCUUGUAGGCAAAGGACAAGCUGACUACAAGCACUCAAGCAAAAAUGGAGUUGCAUUUAAACAUGGUGAUGUUAUAUUAGGCGUGGAUGGAAGGAGAUACCGGCUCCUCAGUGGACCUCCAGGGCCUGUUGGACCACCAGGGAGAACAGUGAGUUACCACAAUUAAAUCCUGAUGAAAUCAUGUGCUCUUCCAGGAUUUUCUUCUAGUAAUAUGUGCUAAAUUGGAAUCUGAAUCCAAAAGCUUGGGGAAAAAAAAAAUAGAAGUUUAUAUGCAUAGUGUCAUUUCAAUACAUGCCAUAGAAAACAUAAACUUGAGUUAAUUAUAGUGGUGAAUCUCUUUUCAGAGGGAUAAUGGAUAGAAAUAAGUACAUUUGAAUGAAUUAAAUGAGUUAAUGUAAAAGUUGUAUAAUUUUACUUGUAUAUUCUU